rnacentral:rRNA from 1 species
AGGAUCAUUAAUGAAUUUUGAUUGGGGGUUGAUGCUGGCAGUCACUUCUUUUGGCUGCAUGUGCUUGCCCCCAAUAAUCUUUAUCCAAACACCUGUGCAUGAAUUUCGAGGGUUUCCGGGUUGGUUUUUGCUGUCUUCUCGGAUUCCCUUGUAUUUCCCACUUUUAUACACUGCUUGCAAUGUCGAAAGUGUUUGUGCCGCAAGGCCAUUAACAAAAAAUACAACUUUUAACAACGGAUCUCGUGUCUCUCAUCUCUGAGAAAAACACCGCAAAGUGAUAUAUAUUGUGUGAUUGCAGAAUUCAGUGACUCAUCGAAUCUUUGAACGCACCUUGCGCUCCCUGGUAUUCCGGGGAGCACGCCUGUUCGAGUGUCGUGAAAUUUCUCAAGCUGAGAUGUUUUUCUUAGUCUUGGUGUUGGGCUCUGCCGUGUCUUUUAUUGGGAUGGCUGGCCUUAAAAGCAUUAGCUGACCCUUAUGUGGGCAAUUGGUUCUACUCAGCGUGAUUAAUGAUUUUGACCGCUGAGGACAUCUUUGGGGAUGGCCAGUUCUCAUUUGGGUUGCUUCUAAUCUUGGUUGUACGGAUUGUUAAUCUGUGCGGCCUCGUUUUUCAGCUUUGACCUCGAAUCAGGUGGGACUACCCGCUGAACUUAAGCAUAUCAAUAAGCGGAGGAAAAGAAACUAACAAGGAUUCCCCUAGUAACGGCGAGUGAAGCGGGAAAAGCUCAAAUUUAAAAUCUGGCAAUCUUUGGUUGUCCGAAUUGUAAUCUAGAGAAGCGUUUUCCGUGCUGGACUGUGUGCAAGUUUCCUGGAUACGGAACAUCAUAGAGGGUGAGAAUCCCGUCCUUCACACAGACUACCAGUGCUUUGUGAUGCGCUCUCGACGAGUCGAGUUGUUUGGGAUUGCAGCUCAAAAUGGGAGGUAAAUUCCUUCUAAAGCUAAAUAUUGGCGAGAGACCGAUAGCGAACAAGUACCGUGAGGGAAAGAUGAAAAGCACUUUGGAAAGAGAGUUAAACAGUACGUGAAAUUGUUAAAAGGGAAACGCUUGAAGUCAGUCAUGUUUGCUUGGACUCAGCCUUACCUCGGUUUGGUGCAUUUCCUUGCAGACGGGCCAGCGUUCAUGUUGUUUGCCAGAGAAGGAGCGAGAGAAUGUGACUCCUUUGGGAGUGUUAUAGCUCUCACUCGCAUGUGGGGAACAAUAUGGAGUGGUACAGCACGCUUUGGCGGUGCUUGUGCUGGCAUAAUGGCUUUAAACGACCCGUCUUGAAACACGGACCAAGGAGUCUAACAUGUCUGCGAGUGUUUGGGUGGAAAACCCGAGCGCGCAAUGAAAGUGAUGGCUGGGAAUCCCUUUUGGGAGGCACCGGUGCCCCGAGCUGACCUUCUGUGACGCAUCGGAGGCAGAGCAUAUAUGUUGGGACCCGAAAGAUGGUGAACUAUGCCUGAAUAGGGCGAAGCCAGAGGAAACUCUGGUGGAGGCUCGUAGCGAUUCUGACGUGCAAAUCGAUCGUCAAAUUUGGGUAUAGGGGCGAAAGACUAAUCGAACCAUCUAGUAGCUGGUUCCUGCCGAAGUUUCCCUCAGGAUAGCAGAAACUCGUUAUCAGUUUUAUGUGGUAAAGCGAAUGAUUA